rnacentral:rRNA from 1 species
AAUGAACGUUGGCGGCGUGGAUUAGGCAUGCAAGUCGAGCGAGAACCGUAGCAAUACGGGGACAGCGGCGAAAGGGACAGUAAUGUGUAGGUACCUACCCCCGGGUUCGGGAUAGCUGCGGGAAACUGCAGGUAAUACCGAAUAACGUCUUCGGACCAAAGGUGUGAUUCCACCUGGGGAGGGGCCUGCAUCCUAUUAGCUUGUUGGUGGGGUAACGGCUUACCAAGGCGACGAUGGGUAGCGGGUGUGAGAGCAUGACCCGCGUCAUUGGGACUGAGACACUGCCCAGACACCUACGGGUGGCUGCAGUCGAGGAUCUUCGGCAAUGGGCGCAAGCCUGACCGAGCGACGCCGCGUGCGGGAUGAAGGCCUUCGGGUUGUAAACCGCUGUCGUAGAGGAGGAAAUGCAGGAGGGUUCUCCCUUCUGUUUGACCUAUUCUAGGAGGAAGUACGGGCUAAGUUCGCGCCAGCAGCCGCUGUAA